GCCAAAAGGCAUAUUUUUAUCUUCAAAAUCACACAAAUUUGGCGAUUAUUGUAAUCAAUCAAACAAAACUUGAUCACGUUAUAAUCUUUCUCGUCUAACUAGUGAAAUCGUAUUUUAAUUUAAGACUUAUCGAUUCAAAAACCACACUUUCGGUUAGUUUCUUUAUCAGAAAGCAGGUUAGUUACCGGUACAAAAAGGGAACGCCUACGUCAAGCUUCUGAAUUUCAAGAAUCUCCACUCUGCCACUGGUCUCUCAUUCCGACUAUCCGAGUUAACUGCAAAAAGACCUGUUUCUUGAGGUUUUUCACAAUGAAAUCAAUCAUUCUGUCCACAUUUUUGCUAGCUGUUUCUCUGAUCAAAUUCGGCUACUCGAGAUCCCCAACAAGAAUACCACCGCUACUCACCUUGGACGAACCAUGUCUUUUUAUAGGUGAAGAGGCAAGGUGUUUUACUCCCAAUGCAUGGGCGUAUGAUCCCAGCAGCAACGAAUGUCGAACAGGAAACUGUGAAACGCCUCCAAGACUGAACCUUUACUACUCAUAUGAAAGGUGCGCUGAGAUGUGUAUCAACGAUGGGAUGAACGAAACUGUUUAUGUAGUCGAGGAGAUGAUCCAGCCCAACGACCACUGAGAUCUUUUGAUUUAGUUUAAAUAUUAAUGCGUGGACAACCUGAAAGCUGGUCUGAUAAUACUGUAAGUUA